rnacentral:lncRNA from 1 species
UUUUUUAAUAGUUGUUAUUUGUAGUGCUUCAAUUUCUUUUCACCUUAGAUCUAAUUAUGAAAUAAUUAGAAAAUUUAAGAAGAAUAAAAUGAAGAAAAUACGAUUGAAGCAACAUUUUCUAUAAAAAGAAAAAGGUUUCUAAAAAGGAGAUGCUAUUAAGAGCAAAGUUGUUGAUUCAAAACCUUCGAGUAAGAGAGAAAAGGAACUUAAAAGAGAAAAUAUUCAGAAAUGAAGGAAAAUUCUUGUGGAGGAGUCAAAGGAUAGUCAAUCUCAGGUUUAUAAUUUCUUUCUCAUUUUCUGUUUUUUGGUUUAUAUUGUUUUGAUUUUAAUUUUAUUUACUGCGACUUUGUUAUUUUUUUUAGUAUUCAGGAUUUUUUGUUGUUUUUUUUUAUGUUAAUUUUUAAAAUUUUUGCUGUUGGUUAAAUAUGUUGAGUUUAUUUUUUUUAAUAUUUGAAAUUAAAAAAGUAAUCAAUAUCUUUUUUUUUGUUGUUGCAUGUUUUAUGUAUGGUUGUUUUUAUUUAUUUUCUAUUUGAAUGGUUUUAAUUUUUUGAGCUCUUUAUAUUAUGUUAUUGUUGGAUUAUAUUAUAUUUUGAAAGGAGUGNNNUAUUAGUUGUUUAAUUUUGUUUCUCUAGUUGAUUUAAGUUUGUUGUGUUUGAACUGAUUUAGUUAAUUUCUUUUUCUUAAUAUUUUAUUUUUAAUUUAAUUGGUCUGCACUAUAGUUACCUGUUUGUGAUUUUUUUUUUCAGUGUAUGUUGUUAGAUUGUUUUAGUUGAUUGGAUUCAGUUGCGGGUGUUCAAAGUUAAAAAGGAGAUCAAUUUACUGUCAAAAUUGGUUUGCACUUAUUUGAUGAUGUUAUUAAAAAUAUAAAAGUGAAGUUGGAUGAGAAAGAGUUAUUGUUGUGUCGAAAGAAUUUUGGUUAUUUUUUAGAUAUUCCUCUUUUUAAGUUGCAAUCUCAACUUAUACAUUAUCUGCUUCUUAUGGAGGUUGAGCAGACUAAUAUAUUUGAAAUAUGAUUUGAGAUUUGUGGUUAUAGGUUGAGUUAAGUAUUGAGGAAUUGGCUUUAGUGACUGGUUUAAAAUGUCAAGGUGAAUUGAGUGAGAUUGGGUUUGGUAGGAAUUCAGAUGGUUUAGUUAGUAAGUAUUUUAAAGAUGUUAAAAGAAUAAAUAAGCAAACAAUUGAGGAAGUUCUUUUGUCUAAGAGGUAGUAAUAUGAUGAUGAUGAUAUGAAACUUGCUUGUAUGUUCUGCAUCUUUUCCUUUUGUCUUGAUCAAAAAAUAAAUUGAUUUCUUUGGUUGACUUUGAGGUGUUGAUUUUGAAAAACUUGAUAAUUUCUCUUGGGGUUUAGAGGUUUUUAAUGUUACUCUUGAUUUAUUGAAGAGUAAAGUUUAUGGAAAAAGUAUAGGAAGACUGAUGAAGGCAAAAGAACAACAGUAUAAUUAUAGACUGAUUGGUUUUCUGUAUACAUUUUAAUGUUGGUUUUAUGAGUUUGUUCUUCUGUUGGUUGACUCUAUUACUUUCUAUUUUGUAAUGAUAGCAUUCCUCGAACUUUGAAGUGGAAUAUAACUGAUGUUCCAAGCUAUAAAUGUUUGGAGAAGCAAUAGAAGAAAGAAUGUUAUUACUUUUCUUUUAUUUACUGUUUUAUAUUUUUUUAUUAACUUAAAAUUUAUUUAUGUUUUUAUUUUCUUUCUAUUUUGUAUUUCAAUUGAAGUUGAAAAAUAUGUUUUCAAGUCCUAAUGACAGAGAAGCUUGAGUUGGAAAUGAUGACGAUGAGGAAGAUUUUGAAGUUCCUUUUUAUUUUUACUAUGUUGAGUCAUAUACUACUAAUAAAUCCAAGAGCAAUACAAGUUUUAGUUCAAGUUCAAUUGUUUCUAUUGAGGAGAAAUUAGAUUCUCUUUUGAUUAUUUAAAUAAAAUUGAAGACUGAUAUUGUUGGUCUUAGACUUUAUAUUGAUAUGAAAUUUGUUAAUAUAUUUUAUUGUUUAAGAGCGUUAAAAGAGAAGCUUACUAUUGAUGAUAAAGUUAGUCAUAUAAGUUUUACUUACCUGUUUUUUUAUUUAUAAUAGAUUUUUUAGUAUAGAAUUUGUUAUUUUAGUUGAUUUUUUAUUAUUGUUAUUAUUUGUUUUGUUUAGAAGCAUAGUGAUGAUGGUGGUGGUGAUCGUGCUUUUAGUACUGAUAAGGGAAAUUCUGAUAAUGAUAAUGAUGAAGAUAUAGUUAUUAAGGGGAUUUGAUUCUUUUUCUCUUUUAAUUUUUAUUGUAUUAGAUAUGCUUGUUCAAUUCUCAAUAUUUAAUUUUUGUUUAUUUAUUUAGAUUGUAUCAAGAGAUGAAAAGUCCGUGAAAUUUGAAGAAGUUAAAGAUGAAGUGCAAGAGAAGAGAUUUAAGGUGACAAAAAUGAUGAAAAAGUGGAUGAGUGUGAUUUUAAAGAUGAAGCUUUUGUUAAAAAAUAUGAUUAUAGGGAUGACAGUUGUUGGUAAUAUGCUGAGAUGGUGAUGUUGAAGGUGAUUUUGGUGAUAGUGUUAUUGAUACCAACAUUGAUGGUUUAGGUAGUAGUGGUUGUAUUCGUGAUCCUAGAGUUGAAGUUGGAAAGAAUGUAGAUGAAGUUUUAGAAGGUAUUGGUGUUGAUAAGGUAUUUGAUAUAAUUGCUUUAUUUUUAUUUUUUUUUACUUUGAAUGUGUUUUUAAUUUCAUUAUUUAUGUUUUUAUGCUUCUUAUUUUUUAUAAGGAUGAUACAAGUUGCAAAGUUAGUUAUGGAUCUUCUUUUGAUGAAAUUGAUCCUAUGGAUCUUCUUCUGAUGAAACUAAUUUUAUAGUUUUUGAAGAAACAAUUGCUAAUACUAUAAAAUUUAAUACAAUAUUCUGAUUUAUUUUUAUAUUGUAUUUUAUGAUUAUCUUUAGUUGAUUUUUGGCUGAUUUGUAUAUGCUUUUUUUAUUUUUGCAAAGCUGUUGAUUCUAGUCAUGUUGCUAAUACUGUAUAUUUAUAUUCUAAUAUUGAUACUAGAAUGAAAGAUAAGAACAAAUAAUUAUUUUAGUUUUUAUUUUUAAUAUUUCUUUAAUACUUUUUUUGUGAUUGUAUUAUCUUUCUUUUUUUAGAAAACACUAAAGAUGAUGUAAUUACGCCUCCUUUGAGUUAUAAUGUUAGUGAUAUUUUUAGUAGUGUUAUUGGUAGUGAUUAUAAUGAUUGGUAUAGAUAGUAGUAGCGGUGUUUGUGAUCAAUGUUGAUAAAGUCUUUUAUAUAAUUAUUUUAUUUUUUUAUUUCUUUUUUAUUUUGAAUGUGUUCUAAAUAUAAAUUUUAUAUUUCUCUAAAAUAAUGAUAGGAAUUGCCAAGUUAGUUUUGGAUCUUCUUUUAAUAAAAUUAAUCUUGUAGUUUUGAAAGAGUCAAUUGCUAAUGCUAUGAAGCUAUUCGGGUAUGCUAAUUAUUAUUUUUUUAUAUUGUAGUAUUCUGAUUUAUUUUUAUAUUGUAUUUUAUGUUUAUCUUUAGUUGAUUUUUGGAUGAUUUGUAUAUGCUUUAUUUUUUUUGCAAGCUGUUGAUUCUAGUCAUGUUGCUAAUACUGUAUAUUUAUAUUCUAAUAUUGAUACUAGAAUGAAAGAUAACAACAAAUAACUAUUUUAGUGUUUAUUUUUAAUAUUUCUUUAAUACUUUUUUUGUGAUUGUAUUAUCUUUCUUUUUUUAGAAAAAAGAUAUAUGAUGCUAAAGAUGAUGUAAUUACGCCUCCUUUGAGUUAUAAUGUUAGUGAUAUUUUUAUUGGUAGUGAUUAUAAUGAUUGGUAUAGAUAGUAGUAGCGGUGUUUGUGAUCAAUGUUGAUAAAGUCUUUUAUAUAAUUGUUUUAUUUUGUUAUUUCUUUUUUAUUUUGAAUGUGUUCUAAAUUUAAAUUUUGUAUUUCUCUAAAAUAAUGAUAGGAAUUGCCAAGUUAGUUUUGGAUCUUCUUUUAAUAAAAUUAAUCUUGUAGUUUCGAAAGAGUCAAUUGCUAAUGCUAUGAAGCUAUUCGGGUAUGCUAAUUAUUUUUUUUUAUAUUGUAUUUUUUGUUUAUCUGUAGUUAAUUUUUAGUAUACUUUUUUGUUAUCUCUUUUUUGUAAGUUGUUGAUUCUGGUCUUGUUUCUAGUACUGUACACUUACAUUUUGGUGUUGAUACACCAAUUGAUUCUAGAGGGUGAUUAAACCUAGUUUUCCAUUUUAAAUCAUCUUUCUUGAUUGAGUUUCGUUCUUUUGAAGAUAGAGUUGAAGUAAAGAAAUCUAAGAAGCUAAUGUGUGGCCUAUGUCAUUUACUAAUGAUUUUAGUACUUAUCAUGAUUUUAAGAAGCAAGUUCGUUUUUUAUUUAUAGUUGGAUGCUCAAAUGAAAAAGAAAAUUAAAUAAUUAUUUUAGUGUUUUUUUACUAUAUUUUGCUUUUUCUAAUUCUUUCUGCGAUUGUAUUUUUUAUAUUUUUUUAGGGAAAAGAUAUAUGAUGAUAAAGAUGAUAAAAUUACGCCUCUUUUCAGUCUUGACAUUGAAAUGAUUGGCCGCCAAAUUUGGUUUCACACACUUUAGUAUUGUGUAGACCUGUUCAUGGGCCUGGGUACCCGCCCGGCCCGCACUCUUCGGACCGGGCUUGGACAGCAAUUUUUGUGUACAAGCCCGGCCCGGCCCGAUGUUUAGUUUAAUUAGGAAAAAAAAAAUGUCAUACCUAGCAUUCGAACCUAUGACCUUCAACUUAUAAUUAAGUGCUACAUACUACUUAGCUACCUAUUAUUUCUAUUUAUAAUUUUAUUGUUAUUAAUAAUAUAUUUAAAUAAAACUAAAUUCAAGCCCGACCCGAACCCGCCAAGCCCGACCCGAACCCGCCCAGACCCGAUCCGUAUUUAUAGGUUUAACCAUUGGUCGGGCCGGGCCGGGCUUUUUAAAAAAAUUCGGGCUCGAGCUUGGGCUAAGAGAUAUUAAAAAAUUCUCGGGCUUGGGCAGGCUCGGGCUUGUUCAAAAUAAAGUCAAGCCCGGUCAGGCCCGGCCCGAGCCCGCCGAAGCCCGGCCCAUGAACAGGUCUAGUAUUGUGGUUAUCCUAUUUUAUUAUGUAUGAAUUUUCACUCUUUGUAUUUAUUUUCAUCUGUAAGAUAUUUUAGAAUUUAUUUUUAUAUUUACUAUCUUUUAAAAUAUACUUAUAGUAUACUAGAUAUAUACUUGAUGUAUAAGGAAUACUAAUUUAAUAUUAGUUUUAACUUAGCUUUUAUUUGUUUAUUAUUUUUCUUGUUUAUUUUCAGCAUAUGGAUGUGAUAUUUUAUUAAUUGCGAAAGGAGCAGAAAUUGAUUCAUGGCCGUUUUCUGAGAUGUACUACAACAAAUAAUUUUUUUGAUCAGCGCAUACAAGUUUGUUAUUGAUUAUUUGAAAAGGAAGAAGAAUAUAUCUAUUGUUUCAAUUUCUUAUUAUGUUGCUAAUUAUAUUUUUGGAUGUUCUAUGUUAUGUUCAACUCAUUGAGUAGUUGUUGAUCAUAUCCUAUUUUCUAUCCAUGUUGGCAAAUUGUGGCAUUGCAUUUUGGAUCGUUUGAGUUUUAUAGAUCGCUGCAUUUAUGUUUAUAACUCUUCGAUAUCUAAAUUAAAUGAUAAAUUUGUAUUGAAAGUGUUAGAAUCGCAAUAUUUUAUUGCCUAUAUCUAAAUUAAAUGAUAAAUUUGUAUUGAAAGUGUUGGAAUCGUAAUAUUUUAUUGCCUUACUUUCUUACUGCUUUUGAUUUUUAUGAGAAGCGAAAGGAUACUAAUUUUAAUUUGUGUUCUUAUCCCACAAGAGUUUGACUGAAGCAUUUCAUAUGGAAAUGAUUAAUGGAUUGCCUACUUAGGAGGACAUGUGAGUUGUGAAAUAUUGAUAUAAAAUUAUUUUAAAUUAUUAAUUUUUAUUCUAUAUUCUGUUAAGUGACUGCGGUGUGUUUAUGACUUAUUUUGUCGAAUACUUUAUUCAUUAAAAAGAUUAGACUUCUAAAUUUAGUAUGAAAUUUCAUAG